ACAGAUGUUAGCUCAGGGUCAAUCUUCCUCUCAAAAAAAAAAAAAAAGGAAAAGAAAAUAAAUAUACUAAGUUAGUAUGCACUGGGCUUCUGUCUUGUGCCAGGGGCUUAAACACUCACCAUGUGGCCGUUAAGACCAUAACUGUUCCCUGCUCCACCCGUGAUCUCAGGGGAUCUGUGUAAAGAACUUUAAGACAAUCCCAUCACAUAAAAACAUUGGUGGAGAAUACUAUUACUAUUAUUCCUCAUAGUAGAAGGCUAAAAUAUAUCCCCCAAAGAUAUUCCCCGAGCCCAAACCCCAGAAUCUGUUAAUACUACCUUUUAUGGUAAAAGGAUCUUAACCAAAACGCAAUCGCAUGUAUCCUAAUAAAAUGGAAGCAGAGGGGGAUUUCACAGAUAUAAGAGGAGAAGACGCACGGAGAAAAGGAGAAAGGAACGUGAUCACAGAGCAAAGAUGGGAGUGACGCAGCCACAAGCCAAGGAAUGCCAGCAGUCACCCGAAGCUGGAAGAGGAAAGGUAUAGAUGCUCCCUGGAGCCUCGUAGGGAGUGUGGCCCUGCCCACAGCUUGAUGUGGAACCAGUGAUAGUGAUUUGGGACUUCUGGCUGCUGAACUGGGAGAGAAUAAACUAGCAUUGUUUUAAGUCACCAAAUUUGUGGCUUAGGAUACGAUACAGUCAUUAAUCACUGCUUUUCUUUUUCUCAACAACAAUGCACACCAGGCAGUAUUAUCCCUGUGGUAUGGACGAGGAAAUGGACUCAGAGGGGCGGGGCUCAGCCAGGUGCAAACUCCGUCAGUCUGAUCUUGCCGACGUGCCGGGCUGGCUCCAGUGAAUGGAACGUGUGGGUUCCCUGGCCUUUAGAGGUAUCCUGGGAAACGGUCACCCCGGUAACAUUGUUUCUAUGAAAAACGUUCUCCAGAUUUCAAAUAAAAGACAAAAGGAAGUUUAGAACACCGUCGUGGAGAAGAAGGGUGUGCUCAACCCCACAAAUCCCGCUUUCCACUUUGAAAUCGAAGCUAUGCAAUUAACCCAUUCAUUGAAGGGUCCAAGUCCCUGGGACAUACACGUCACAGACAGGCUGUUCCUGACCCUCUGGGCAUCAGCAUUUAAAGAAGAGUCUUAACUGGUCCUAAGCCUCCUUUCACUCUGUAAUAAAACCCAGGGCCUCUUACUUGAAAUCCAGAAGUCUUCACAACGUGCAUGGCCCCGUGGUAUUACCGACAGAUGGCUGCUAAAAUCCCAAUGAGCUUGGGUUUCCUAAGGAGAAGAACUUGGCCUGGUCAGAAUUAUCACCAAAUACAUCACCAAUUGGCUUUCAAAAAGCAAACAAUAUGCAAAGGAUGUCACGAGGAAAGUGAAAUGACAACCCACAGAAUGGAGAAAAGGGCUCAUCAUCACCUCUGCGGAGGGCCGAGGAGACCAGGAGCAGGAACUAGAAUGGAUCUGUCUACAAGGCUCGCAGCUCCUGGCCCAGGAGGAGAGCGCUCGGCUGGAGGCAGCCACUGCAGUGGCAGCUUCUUUCUGCAGGAUAUCCCGUCUUCUCUGUGGCCACAGAAAACUGGGUUUGGCGUUUUUAAGGAAAAGCAACUGAAUCUCUGUAGCUGAACCUCCCGACCACUCCCCGCCCAUUCCAAGCCCAGAUUGGGCCCCUCAGUCCACUGUCUCCCAACCACAUAUUUGCUCACACACCUGUGUACUCACCUGUAUACUAAUCCAGUGGCACUUAAUAAAAUCAUGCUCCAUGGGGACAGAAGCUGGAAUUAAAUAAUGCAGCCGUCUUAUUUUUUUUUUUAAAGCAAAGACACUCCCCAAUCCCUUUUAUUUCUCUUCCUUCACGAAGUCUAAGUGACCCCGGCCAGAAAAUCUGCGGAAUCUUUCAUAACACACUUCAGUUUUGCUGGGCUCCAAAAUGCUAGGAUCCCGCUUGCCUCCAACUACCUCGAAAUCUCCCUUGACAGACAGAUACUCUGUGACAGCACCAAGAUGCAAAGGGCCUUGACCCAUUCUGAACAGGAGGAUGCGCCCGGCUGAAAGAGCCUUCACCCCACAGAGUCCCUCAAUGAAUGAUCGCUCUGUUUAACAUCCUUUGAAUGCACACAAUGGACCGGCUCUUAUAUCAUGCCCGUAUUGUGGACCCCACCGGUUUCAAUGAACUGAGACCCCUCCUGCAGCAGAAUACAAGUCUCUCAGCUCAGCCUCGGCACAACUAGAGAAGAAUCUCCUCACUGAGCAAGAGAGCUCCAAGGUCUUCUAGAAAAAUCUCACACAAGCACGGGAGGAAUCUCUCCACAUCCACAGUCUAGACCUUUAUGAAUUUCUUAAUGAGGCCCCUGGAGACCACAGGGAACAGUGAAAGUCUUAUGCUGGAGGGGUGUGGAGGAAGGUGCGGUGGGGGGGGGGGGGGGAGGGAAGGUGACAGAAGCGAAAAACCCGCCUAUGUACUAACAUCUUGUACCUCUUACACUAGAGCAUUGUUUUAUUUUCAAAACACUCUGUUCCUUGCGAAGCACUACUUUAUUUUUGAGUGCCUCCUUUAAUAAUAAAAGAAAACCUUUAAAGUAAGUGAUUUGGCCUACAAUGAUGAGAGAAUUUUUCUAGCACAGGAUUAUUACUUACAUAAAACUGAAUAUUUAGGGGCUGGCUCCGUGGCUGAAUGAUUAUGGUCACGUGCUCCGCUUCGGCGGCCCAGGGUUUU